rnacentral:rRNA from 1 species
GUCUAUGGCCAUGCCACCCUAAACAUGCCCGAUCUCAUCUGAUCUCGGAAGGUAAGCAGGGUCGGGCCUGGUUAGUACUUGGAUAGGAGACCACCUAGAAAGACCAGGUGCUGUAGGUG